rnacentral:lncRNA from 1 species
AAAUUUAAAGCAGUCAACAUAAAAAGUCAUUCACAGAUGCAAGUUUGGGGGAGAUUGUUGCAGAUCCAGCACAGAGACAUAAUUUUGAGCAAUUAAUUUUCUGCAGCUCAGUUUUGCGAUGCAUGGAGGAGAAGCACAGUUAAAUCAUAGAUCCAUACACCACAGAACUGAGUACAGCUAUUAUUACCAGAUCUACAACAAUUCAACUUGCAAGGAUAUGAAAUUUUACCUCCCAGAUGCACCGAUCUGGGCUCUUCGAAGCUUGUGCCGU